rnacentral:rRNA from 1 species
GACAGAGGUCCCGAGCGUUAGGCGGAAUCACUGGGCUUAAAGCGUGUGUAGGCGGACUUCUAAGUACCUUGUGAAAUCCCACGGCUCAACCGUGGAACUGCUUGGUAUACUGGUUGUCUUGGGCCAUCUAGGGGCGAGCGGAACAAACGGUGGAGCGGUGAAAUGCGUAGAUAUCGUUUGGAACGCCAAUGGUGAAAACAGCUCGCUGGGGAUGUGCCGACGCUGAGACACGCAAGCCAGGGGAGCGAACGGG